UACGUAGGGGGCUAGCGUUGUCCGGAAUCAUUGGGCGUAAAGAGCGUGUAGGCGGUCCGGUAAGUCCGCUGUGAAAGUCGGGGGCUCAACCCUCGAAUGCCGGUGGAUACUGUCGGGCUAGAGUGCGGAAGAGGCGAGUGGAAUUCCUGGUGUAGCGGUGAAAUGCGCAGAUAUCGGGAAGAACACCUAUGGCGAAGGCAGCUCUCUGGGACGGUACUGACGCUGAGACGCGAAAGCGUGGGGAGCGAACAGG
rnacentral:rRNA from 1 species